UAACGUAGAGAAAUUUACGCUAAUACCGCAUACGAUCUAAGGAUGAAAGCGGGGGACUCGCAAGAGCCUCGCGCGAUUGGAGCGGCUGAUAUCAGAUUAGCUUGUUGGUGAGGUAAAAGCUCACCAAGGCGACGAUCUGUAGCUGGUUUGAGAGAACGACCAGCCACACUGGGACUGAGACACGGCCCAGACUCCUACGGGAGGCAGCAGUGGGGAAUUUUGGACAAUGGGCGAAAGCCUGAUCCAGCAAUGCCGCGUGUGGGAAGAAGGCCUUCGGGUUGUAAACCACUUUUGUACGGAACGAAACGGUUCGCUUUAAUACAGCGGGCUAAUGACGGUACCGUAAGAAUAAGCACCGGCUAACUACGUGCCAGCAGCCGCGGUAAUACGUAGGGUGCGAGCGUUAAUCGGAAUUACUGGGCGUAAAGCGUGCGCAGGCGGUUAUAUAAGACAGUUGUGAAAUCCCCGGGCUCAACCUGGGAAUUGCAUUUGUGACUGUAUAGCUAGAGUACGGUAGAGGGGGAUGGAAUU
rnacentral:rRNA from 1 species